rnacentral:rRNA from 1 species
AAAACUCUGUUAUCAGGGAAGAACAAGUAUCGGAGUUACUGCCGGUACCUUGACGGUACCUGACCAGAAAGCCACGGCUAACUACGUGCCAGCAGCCGCGGUAAUACGUAGGUGGCAAGCGUUGUCCGGAAUUAUUGGGCGUAAAGGGCGCGCAGGCGGUUUCUUAAGUCUGAUGUGAAAUCUUGUGGCUCAACCACAAGCUGUCAUUGGAAACUGGGAGACUUGAGUGCAGAAGAGAAGAGCGGAAUUCCACGUGUAGCGGUGAAAUGCGUAGAGAUGUGGAGGAACACCAGUGGCGAAGGCGGCUCUUUGGUCUGCAACUGACGCUGAGGCGCGAAAGCGUGGGGAGCGAACAGGAUUAGAUACCCUGGUAGUCCACGCCGUAAACGAUGAGUGCUAAGUGUUAGAGGGUUUCCGCCCUUUAGUGCUGCAGUAAACGCAUUAAGCACUCCGCCUGGGGAGUACGGCCGCAAGGCUGAAACUCAAAGGAAUUGACGGGGGCCCGCACAAGCGGUGGAGCAUGUGGUUUAAUUCGAAGCAACGCGAAGAACCUUACCUGGAUUUGACAUCCUGGUGAAACUCCGGUGAAAGCCGGAGCCCCCUUCGGGGCACCAGGACAG